ACCAGCCAAUUCAUGACGAGAAGCACACACUUAACGACAAGCAUUGAGACCUGUCAACCAGCCAAUUCAUGACGAGAAGCCACACCUAACGACAAGCAUUGAGACCUGUCAACCAGCCAAUUCAUGAUGAAAAGAUUAACAUGCAGAAGUUUGAAUAAUGUGUCUGUUAUUAUUAAAAUAUUUUUUUUAAGAUUCAUCCCAUAUCACAAUAGUGGAACCUUAUGCCAUAGAGGGGAAAAAUAUCAAAACCAAAUGUGUAUCCCAAUGUGUCAUUACCCCAAUGUGUCAUUAACCCAAUGUGUCAUUAAUCCAAUUUGUCAUUAA
rnacentral:lncRNA from 1 species